GGAGGGAUGGUGCAGUGGUGAAGCACCUGGUACUCCCUGUGGUAACCAGCCACAGGCUGUAGGUUCGAAUCCUACUCCCUCCA
rnacentral:tRNA from 1 species